rnacentral:rRNA from 1 species
UCGAGAAUCUUCGGCAAUGGGCGCAAGCCUGACCGAGCGACGCCGCGUGGAGGACGAAGGCCUUCGGGUUGUAAACUCCUGUCGAGGGGGAGGAAGGUCGGGCAACCGGCUUGACCGAUCCCUGGAGGAAGCACGGGCUAAGUUCGUGCCAGCAGCCGCGGUAAGACGAACCGUGCGAACGUUAUUCGGAAUCACUGGGCUUAAAGCGCGUGUAGGCGGAUGGGGACGUCGGUUGUUGAAAGCCCCCGGCUCAACCGGGGAAUGGGCACCGAAACGCCCCGUCUCGAGGGACGUAGGGGGACCUGGAACUUCCGGUGGAGCGGUGAAAUGCGUUGAGAUCGGAAGGAACGCCCGUGGCGAAAGCGAGGUCCUGGACGUCUACUGACGCUGAGACGCGAAAGCUAGGGUAGCGAACG